GGCUCGGUAGCUUAGUUGGUAAAGCGCUCGUCUAGCAUACAAGAGUCCUGGGUUCAAAUCCCAGCAGGGCAC
rnacentral:tRNA from 1 species